UACAGAGGUCUCAAGCGUUGUUCGGAUUCAUUGGGCGUAAAGGGUGCGUAGGCGGCGUCGUAAGUCGGGUGUGAAAUCUCGGGGCUCAACUCCGAAAUUGCAUUCGAUACUGCGGUGCUUGAGGACUGGAGAGGAGACUGGAAUUCACGGUGUAGCAGUGAAAUGCGUAGAUAUCGGGAGGAACACCAGUGGCGCAGGCGGCGUCCUGGACCGGCACUGACGCUGAGGAGCGAAAGGCGUGGGGAGCGAUCCGG
rnacentral:rRNA from 1 species